rnacentral:rRNA from 1 species
UACGUAGGGUCCGAGCGUUGUCCGGAAUUACUGGGCGUAAAGAGCUCGUAGGCGGUUUGUCACGUUGUUCGUGAAAACCCACAGCUCAACUGUGGGCGUGCGAGCGAUACGGGCAGACUAGAGUACUGCAGGGGAGACUGGAAUUCCUGGUGUAGCGGUGGAAUGCGCAGAUAUCAGGAGGAACACCGGUGGCGAAGGCGGGUCUCUGGGCAGUAACUGACGCUGAGGAGCGAAAGCGUGGGGAGCGAACAGG